GUCUCUAUCUGUUUAUUCUUUAUGCAGUAGAAGAACACAUAUACAUUGGUAUCUGAAGACUUUAACUGGCAGCCAGCAUGCUUUGGCAAGGAUAUUGAAAAAAAAUCUCUGGUCUCUUCUGAAGAUUGAAGAUAACUAAAGUCUUACUUUCAAAGGAAAUAAAGUAUAUAGCACAAAUGCUCAACAGGACAGAAACAAUGAAUAUUCUGCCAUCCUCUUUCUUCCCUAGGACUCUCUUGUAUGUUUGGCAACAUUGCCUGACCAGGACCUGUCCGUCACACCAAGAUUGAACAAACACUGUAAGCGAAUGAAAUGACAGACAUCAGUAAGGGCAUAAAGCAGUAUUUGUCCUAGACACAAUACCUUGCCCCA